GUGAAAACGACGACUUCCAGGUUCAGGGGCGAGGAACUGGUGCUAAAGAGACCAAGUGCUCUUGGGUCUGGGGCAGCGCUGAGCUGGUCCUGUUUGGUACUAUCCGACCAGACACGGUGGGGCACAAAGCGCCUACAGUAGUGUAAAAGAAGGGUCAUAUUGACUUUGCCAUGGAGCAACCUGGCAGACACCACCCCAACAAGAGACCAAGGUUGACAUUACUGCUGUAGGACAAACCAUCUCCCAACACAAAGCAGAGAGAAAAGUGCAACAUGACUUCUGUGAUAUUCCUGCCAAAAAGGCAAAACGAGAAUCUGAUCAGGACAUCGGACAAACGCAAAGACAGUUGACAAAAUGACCGACCUAUACUUUUCCGCAAAACAUCCAUGUCAUGGAAGAUGAAGAAGCAUGUGAUCUGGGACUCUUUGCUCACAUCGUGGAGACAAUUGAAGAGCUGGGCAUGCUUAGCUUGGAGCAGAGAAGAUGGAGGGCAGGAGGAAGGUCAUGAUGGUGACCUUCAAAUCACCUUCGUGUCAACCAUAGGGAAGACUCCUUCUGUGGCAUCUGGUGGCAAUUACGAGAACCACUCGUGAGGAAGCUGUGGGAAGGUUUCACCGUAAUAUUGCAAAAGGACGUCCUACAAUGGAAAAGGCAGUGAAAAUCAAGACCAUUCAUAAACGAGAAGCCUGUGGAACAAUGUGAAGGUCACAUACAGUGUGCCCUGAGUCUUCUUCCUCCAGUUGCAUGCUGUUAAGGGGGCUUUAAUUAAGCUUUCCCCUCCGGGCACAACCAGCCUGUUUGUGGACAAAGUGCCAAAUAAAAUGAAGAGAUCCACAAUCCAAGCCCUCGUGACAUGUACCGUCUAGUGCGUAGAGUGACAACAAAGGAAUAAUCACAGCCUCUGCUAUUUGAUCAGAAUUAUGAUGAACGCCAUGAGGAAGAGUUUGAACGGGAGACCCACUCUGAUCUGAAGGCUGAGGAGAGCUUCGGCAAAGAAGUUAAUGAACGUGAACUGCUGGGCAGUGCCUGGGCACAUAGUGGCUACCCAUUCAUCUUUGUGUGCCUUUCUUGUGGCAUAUCUUUAUUGUCUUACAGGUCUGGAGGCCAUGUAUCUGAGAACGGCUAAGAUUACGGUGUCAGCAGGGCUCAUGUAGUUUUUGGAGGCUCGAGGUCUCACCAAAGUUUCCAUACGUGUACCUUUCUCAAGAAGCUACUGGAGGAUGUGCUUCAUCAAAUGAGAGAGUAAACCAUGGAAGCGGAAGACAGAAAAUUCAGGACACAGCAGAAGGAACGCAGGAGAGAGGCAAUUACCCUGAAGAUGCCGGCCGCAGGUGUGCGGGGUGCUCAGCACAGCCAUCAGCCUCGACAGAGAGCCCAGGACGCAGGGUUCAAAGCAAAACACGCAACUGACAGGGGAAAGAAGGAAAGGAUGUCAUUACCACUCGAACAAGGAGGCAGGUGUUGGGUUCCAGGACACGCAGCCCCUCUGGCAGAUCCGGGUUUUCUCUGACUCCAGCCUCAUUAAGUCACAGGAGGGAGAUGAUCUCAGCAAAGGACAUCAAAUCCGUAGGAGGUCCAGCAAGGCCAGAAGCCCUCUGCCUCCCCGCGAUCGCAGUGACUGCUGCAAUGAGAGCAAGAGCAGUGGUGGACAGGGUCCUGUGAGCUGCGGGCGCCUGUCACUGCCCACAGUGUUCCCAGCAGGACUGGCGGCGCCGGGGCCAGGGUCAGCUUGAGAGUGACAUCGCUUUCCAGGGACAGACCUGGGCGGCGGACAGAGAGGGAGAGCUGGAGGCAUCCGGGGAAGCUAGUGGUAGGGGGAUGGGGCUCUGCCUUGUAUCCCUCCCCUGACACUCCCUGGGAAUGUGAAUGCAGUCUGGUUUGCUCCCCCAGCCAGAGACACUCUCUUGUCUUCACUUCUCUGCUCCAGUCUCCAAAUCAGGGAAGAUCUCCAGGGAGGGAGGCAGCCCUGGAAGGAGGACUUGGGGAGCAAAAGGAAAUGUUGCCCUCCAUCAGCAGCGAAGUGCCUUGGGACGCCUGGGUGGCUCAGUUGGUUAAGCGUCUGUCUUCGGCUCAGGUCAUGAUCCCAGGGUCCUGGGAUCGAGCCCUGCAUCGGGCUCCCCGCUCAGCGGGGAGUCUGCUUCUCCCUCUCCCUCUUGCUCUC